UAAUACGUAGGGGGCGAGCGUUGUUCGGAUUUACUGGGCGUAAAGAGCGCGUAGGCGGUUCGAUUAGUCGGAGGUGAAAUCCCUCGGCUUAACCGAGGACCCGCGUCCGAUACUGUCGAACUUGAGUGCAGGAGAGGAGGGCGGAAUUCCCCAGUGUAGCGGUGAAAUGCGUAGAUAUUGGGAGGAACACCGGUGGCGAAGGCGGCUCUCUGGACUGUCACUGACGCUGAGGCGCGAAAGCUAGGGGAGCAAACGGGAUUAGAUACCCCGGUAGUCCUAGCCGUAAACGAUGGGCACUAGGUGUGGGAGGUAUCGACCCCUUCCGUGCCGCAGCUAACGCAUUAAGUGCCCCGCCUGGGGAGUACGGCCGCAAGGUUGAAACUCAAAGGAAUUGACGGGGGCCCGCACAAGCGGUGGAGCAUGUGGUUUAAUUCGACGCAACGCGAAGAACCUUACCAGGGCUUGACAUCCCGCGAAUCCCUUCGAAAGAAGGGAGUGCCCGCAAGGGAGCGCGGAGACAGGUGGUGCAUGGCU
rnacentral:rRNA from 1 species